rnacentral:rRNA from 1 species
CGAACGAGCUUGAUUCUUCGGAAUAUGUGACUGAGUGGCGGACGGGUGAGUAACGCGUGAGUACCUGCCCUUCAGAGGGGGAUAGCGUUUGGAAACGAACGGUAAUACCGCAUAAUCCGCAUGAUCAAAGAUUUAUCGCUGAAGGAUGGACUCGCGUCUGAUUAGGUAGUUGGUGGGGUAACGGCCUACCAAGCCGACGAUCAGUAGCCGGACUGAGAGGUUGAUCGGCCACAUUGGGACUGAGACACGGCCCAGACUCCUACGGGAGGCAGCAGUGGGGAAUAUUGCACAAUGGGCGCAAGCCUGAUGCAGCAACGCCGCGUGAAGGAAGACGGUUUUCGGAUUGUAAACUUCGUUCUUAGGAAGAAAUGACGGUAGCUAAGGAGCAAGCACGGCUAACUACGUGCCAGCAGCCGCGGUAAUACGUAGGUGCAAGCGUUGUCCGGAAUUACUGGGUGUAAAGGGAGCGCAGGCGGGUGAUCAAGUCAGCUGUGAAAACUACGGGCUUAACCCGUAGCUGCAGUUGAAACUGUUCAUCUUGAGUGAAGUAGAGGUUGGCGGAAUUCCGAGUGUAGCGGUGAAAUGCGUAGAUAUUCGGAGGAACACCGGUGGCGAAGGCGGCCAACUGGGCUUUAACUGACGCUGAGGCUCGAAAGUGUGGGGAGCAAACAGGAUUAGAUACCCUGGUAGUCCACACUGUAAACGAUGAUUGCUAGGUGUG